GACGAACGCUGGCGGCGUGCUUAACACAUGCAAGUCGAACGGAAAGGCCCUGCUUUUGUGGGGUGCUCGAGUGGCGAACGGGUAAGUAACACGUGAGUAACCUGCCCUUGACUUUGGGAUAACUUCGGGAAACCGGAGCUAAUACCGGAUAAUAUAUUGAACCGCAUGGUUCAAUAGUGAAAGAUGGUUUUGCUGGCACUUAUAGAUGGAUCCGCGCCGCAUUAGCUAGGUGGUAAGGUAACGGCUUUCCAAGGCAACGAGGCGUAGCCGACCGGAGAGGGGGGUCGGCCACAUGGGAGGUGAGACACGGUCCAGACUCCUGCGGUAGGCCGCAGUAGGGAAUCUUCCGCAGUGGGCGAAAGCCUUACGGAGCAACGCCGCGUGAGUGGUUAAGGUCUUCGGAUCGUGAUACUCUGUUAUUAGGGAAGAACAAAUGUGUAAGUAACUAUGCACGUCUUGACGGUACCUAAUCAGAAAGCCACGGCUAACUACGUG
rnacentral:rRNA from 1 species